AUAAGUUACUAAGGGCAUACGGUGGAUGCCUUGGCAUAAGAAGCCUAUGAAGGACGCAAUUACCGGCGAAACGCUGCGGUAAGGUGGAAAUAACCUAAGACCCGCAGAUAUCCGAAUGGGGCAACCCGUCAGAAGUAAUGUUCUGACAUCCAUACUUGAAUACAUAGAGUAUGCGAAGAUAACCCGGUGAACUGAAACAUCUAAGUAACCGGAGGAAGAGAAAAUAAACAAUGAUUUCCUAAGUAGUGGCGAGCGAAAGGGAAAGAGUCUAAACCGACUAACAUGUAAAAGAGUGCAAUCGUUGUGUUAGCGGUGUAGCGGGGACAUUUGUGCAGAAUUGCAACUAUGCAGAAGAGUAAGAAAUUGUAUUGUUAAUUGAAUAACCUGGGAAGGUUAACCAUAGAAGGUGAUAGUCCUGUAAGUAAAAGCAAUAUAACUCUUUAGAAUGUAACCCCAAGUACCACGGAGUAAGUGGAAUUUUGUGGGAAUCAGCGAGAACCAUCUCGUAAGACUAAAUACUCUCUUAUGACCGAUAGUGAAUAAGUACCGUAAGGGAAAGGUGAAAAGCACUCCUAACCGGAGAGUGAAAUAGUACCUGAAACCGUAUGCUUACAAGCAGUUGGAGUUCCGUUUACGGAAUGACAGCGUGCCUUUUGGAUAAUGAGCCAACGAGUUGCUCGUAUGUUGCAAGGUUAACUAACUAAGUUAGGGAGCCGUAGCGAAAGCAAGUCUGAAAUGGGCGAUAUAGUAACAUGCGGCAGACGCGAAACUUUGUGAUCUACCCUUGUCCAGGAUGAAGUGAAGGUAAAACUUCAUGGAGGUCCGAACUAAUGUGGGUUGAAAACCACUUGGAUGAGAUGAGGGUAGGGGUGAAAGGCCAAUCAAACUGAGAGAUAGCUCGUAUUCCUCGAAAUAGCUUUAGGGCUAGCCUCGGAUAAAAGUAUAACGGAGGUAGAGCACUGAUUGGGCUAGGGCUGUCACAACGGUACCAACCCCAGACAAACUCCGAAUACCGUAUAUAUGUUCUCCGGGAGUCAGGCAGUGGGGGAUAAGCUUCAUUGCCAAAAGGGAAACAACCCAGACUACCGACUAAGGUCCCCAAAUAGUAGUUAACAGAGAAAGGAUGUUUAAUUGCUUUGACAACUAGGAUGUUGGCUUAGAAGCAGCCACACAUUUAAAGAGUGCGUAAUAGCUCACUAGUCUAGCGAUUUAGCGUCGACAAUACCCGGGACUAAACUACUUACCGAAGUCGUAGAAUUCGAAAGAAUUGGUAGAGGAACAUUCUAUUUGCGAAGAAGGUGAUUUGUGAGAAUUGCUGGAGCGGAUAGAAAAGCAAAUGUUGGCAUAAGUAACGAUAAGGAGUAUGAAAAAUACUCCCGCCGAAAGUCUAAGGUUUCCUGAGCAACGUUAAUCGACUCAGGGUAAGUCGGGUCCUAAGCUGAGGCUGAAAGGCGUAAGUGAUGGAAAACAGGUUAAAAUUCCUGUACCCGGUAGUAUUCGUUUGACUGUAAGGAGAGACGCAGGAGUGAAAGUCAGCCACCUGACGGAUUAGGUGGUUUAAGUGUGUAGAAGGGAAGAGUAGGCAAAUCCGCUUUUCCGCUAACUUCGAGGCACGAAUAGGAGAGCCUAGCUCAUAAACUGACUGUAAUCAGGCUGCCAAGAAAAUCUUCGUACAGGAGAGUACUAUCGGACCGUACCGCAAACCGACACAGGUAGAUGGGAUGAAUAUUCUAAGGCGCUCGAGAGAGCCGUGGUUAAGGAACUCGGCAAAUUAACCCCGUAACUUCGGGAAAAGGGGUGCCCCAAGUAAGUGAAAUAGAACAUGUGGAGCUGAAAGGGGCCGCAGUGAAAUGGCCCAAGCGACUGUUUAACAAAAACAUAUGUCUCUGCGAAGUCAAUCAAGACGAAGUAUAGGGACUGACACCUGCCCGGUGCUGGAAGGUUAAGGGGAGAGGUCAUCGGGAGCAAUCCUGAGAAGCUUUGAACCGAAGCCCCAGUAAACGGCGGCCGUAACUAUAACGGUCCUAAGGUAGCGAAAUUCCUUGUCGGGUAAGUUCCGACCUGCACGAAUGGUGUAACGAUUUGGGCACUGUCUCGACCACGGCCUCGGUGAAAUUGUGGUACCGGUGAAGACGCCGGUUACCCGCAUAUGGACGGAGAGACCCCGUGAACCUUUACUGCACCCUAUCAUUGGGUUCGGAUACGUCAUGUGUAGAAUAGGUGGGAGACUAAGAAGCCGGGGCGCUAGCUUCGGUGGAGUCGAAAUGUGAAAUACCACCCUUGAUUUGUCUGGAUUCUAACCGCGACCCAUGAAUCUGGGUUCGGAACAGUGGUAGGCGGGUAGUUUGACUGGGGCGGUCGCCUCCCAAAAUGUAACGGAGGCUCUCAAUGGUUCCCUCAGCACGGUCGGUAAUCGUGCGUUGAGCGUAAAGGUAUAAGGGAGCUUGACUGUGAGACAUACAGGUCAAACAGAUACGAAAGUAGGACUUAGUGAUCCGGCGGUAGCAAGUGGAAGUGCCGUCGCUCAAAGGAUAAAAGGUACUCCGGGGAUAACAGGCUGAUCUUGCCCAAGAGUUCAUAUCGACGGCAAGGUUUGGCACCUCGAUGUCGGCUCAUCGCAUCCUGGGGCUGAAGAAGGUCCCAAGGGUUUGGCUGUUCGCCAAUUAAAGCGGUACGUGAGCUGGGUU
rnacentral:rRNA from 1 species